rnacentral:rRNA from 1 species
CUUAGUGGCAGACGGGUGAGUAACAUGUGGGUAUCUACCCUUUGGCCCGGAAUAACACGAGGAAACUUGUGCUAAUACCGGAUAAGUCUUUACAGAGAAAGCUUUAUGCACCAUUGGAUGAGCCCGCACUUGAUUAGUUUGUUGGUAGGGUAAUGGCCUACCAAGACUGUGAUCAAUAGCUGAUUUGAGAGGAUGAUCAGCCACAUUGGGACUGAGACACGGCCCAAACUCCUACGGGAGGCAGCAGUGGGGAAUCUUGCACAAUGGAGGAAACUCUGAUGCAGCGAUGCCGCGUGAGUGAAGAAGGCCCUUGGGUUGUAAAGCUCUUUCGUCGGGGAAGAAAAUGACUGUACCCGAAUAAGAAGGUCCGGCUAACUUCGUGCCAGCAGCCGCGGUAAUACGAAGGGACCUAGCGUAGUUCGGAAUUACUGGGCUUAAAGAGUUCGUAGGUGGUUGAAAAAGUUGGUGGUGAAAUCCCAGAGCUUAACUCUGGAACUGC